UACGUAGGUGACCAGCGUUGUCCGGAUUUACUGGGCGUAAAGAGCGCGCAGGCGGUCGUUCAAGUCGAGUGUGAAAGCCCCCGGCUCAACUGGGGAGGGUCAUUCGAUACUGAUCGACUGGAAGGCAGGAGAAGGAAGCGGAAUUCCCGGUGUAGUGGUGAAAUGCGUAGAUAUCGGGAGGAACACCAGUGGCGAAGGCGGCUUCCUGGCCUGUUCUUGACGCUGAGGCGCGAAAGCUAGGGGAGCAAACGGG
rnacentral:rRNA from 1 species